GACGAACGCUGGCGGCGUGCUUAACACAUGCAAGUCGAACGGUAAGGCCCUUCGGGGUACACGAGUGGCGAACGGGUGAGUAACACGUGGGUGAUCUGCCCUGCACUUCGGGCAUAGCCUGGGAAACUGGGUCUAAUACCGGAUAGGACCACUGCCUCGAUGGGUGGUGGUGGAAAGCUUUUGCGGUGUGGGAUGGGCCCGCGGCCUAUCAGCUUGUUGGUGGGGUGAUGGCCUACCAAGGCGACGACGGGUAGCCGGCCUGAGAGGGUGACCGGCCACACUGGGACUGAGAUACGGCCCAGACUCAUACGGGAGGCAGCAGUGGGGAAUAUUGCACAAUGGGCGCAAGCCUGAUGCAGCGACGCCGCGUGAGGGAUGACGGCCUUCGGGUUGUAAACCUCUUUCAGCACCGACGAAGCGCAAGUGACGGUAGGUGCAGAAGAAGGACCGGCCAACUACGUGCCAGCCGCCGCAGUAA
rnacentral:rRNA from 1 species